rnacentral:rRNA from 1 species
AAGCGUAGCGAUACGUUGAGCUAACCAGUACUAAUGACCCGAGAGGCUUAACCUUACAACACCGAAGGUGUUU